rnacentral:rRNA from 1 species
ACUCCUACGGGAGGCAGCAGUGGGGAAUAUUGCACAAUGGGCGCAAGCCUGAUGCAGCCAUGCCGCGUGUAUGAAGAAGGCCUUCGGGUUGUAAAGCAUUUCAGCGGGGAGGAAGAGCUGUGGUAAUACCUCGGCAAUGACGUACUGCAGAGAGA